rnacentral:tRNA from 1 species
UGCGGGAUGGUGUAAUGGCAGCACGGCUGGUUCUGGCCCAGUUAGUCUAGGUUCGAGUCCUAGUCCCGCAG